CUGCUGCCUUCCGUAGGAGUUUGGGCCGUGUCUCAGUCCCAAUGUGGCCGGUCACCCUCUCAGGUCGGCUACUGAUCGUCGCCUUGGUGGGCCGUUACCCCGCCAACCAGCUAAUCAGACGCGGGUCCAUCUCAUACCACCGGAGUUUUUCACACCGGAACAUGUGUCCCUGUGCGCUUAUGCGGUAUUAGCAGUCAUUUCUAACUGUUAUCCCCCCGUAUGAGGCAGGUUACCCACGCGUUACUCACCCGUCCGCCA
rnacentral:rRNA from 1 species